GAAAUUUACAAGACGAAUAAAAAAAUUAAAAAAAAAAUAAAAACAUCUUCAUCUAUUGAGCGGUUUGUUGGCGAUAGAGUGAGCGUGGCAGCAUUUGGAAACAAACUUGCGUUCCUAAGAUCGAGGCGUUAGCCAGACAGACGGGCGGACAAACGGAUAUGGCCAGUAUUCUUAAUCAAUUCUGCCCUUCAGUUUGGCAAAGAGAGAGAAAGUUGAAAUUAAGUAAACAGCAUGCGCUGGGCAAGUUUGUCUAUUUGAACGCUUAUAAACCGCCCAAA